UGGGGAAUUUUGGACAAUGGGGGCAACCCUGAUCCAGCCAUGCCGCGUGAGUGAAGAAGGCCUUCGGGUUGUAAAGCUCUUUCGGACGGAACGAAAUGGUCAGGGUGAAUAUCCCUGACUGAUGACGGUACUGUAAGAAGAAGCACCGGCUAACUACGUGCCAGCAGCCGCGGUAAUACGUAGGGUGCGAGCGUUAAUCGGAAUCACUGGGCGUAAAGCGCGUGUAGGCGGUCUGCUAAGUCUGAUGUGAAAGCCCGGGGCUCACCCCCGGAAGUGCAUUGGAAACUGACAGACUGGAGUCCCGGAGAGGAGGGUGGAAUUCCUGGUGUAGCGGUGAAAUGCGUAGAUAUCAGGAGGAACACCGGUGGCGAAGGUGGCCCUCUGGACGGUGACUGACGCUGAGACGCGAAAGCGUGGGGAGCAAACAGGAUUAGAUACCCCCGUAGUCCCUGAGCGGGCUGGCAAGGCGCAU
rnacentral:rRNA from 1 species